CCUACGGGUGGCAGCAGUGAGGAAUAUUGGUCAAUGGCCGAGAGUCUGAACCAGCCAAGUCGCGUGAGGGAAGACUGCCCUACGGGUUGUAAACCUCUUUUGUCGGGGAGCAAAGAGAGUCACGUGUGACUCUUUGAGAGUACCCUAAGAAUAAGCAUCGGCUAACUCCGUGCCAGCAGCCGCGGUAAUACGGAGGAUGCGAGCGUUAUCCGGUUUUAUUGGGUUUAAAGGGUGCGCAGGCGGAGGUGCAAGUCAGCGGUAAAAUUUGGGGGCCAAACCCAGUACUGCCGUUGAAACUGGCAGACUUGAGUGCGCGAGAAGUAGGCGGAAUUCGUGGUGUAGCGGUGAAAUGCAUAGAUAUCACGCAGAACUCCGAUUGCGAAGGCAGCAUACCGGAGUGCAACUGACGCUCAGGCACGAAAGCGUGGGUAUCGAACAGGAUUAGAUACCCCAGUAGUC
rnacentral:rRNA from 1 species